rnacentral:rRNA from 1 species
UACGGGGGGGGCAAGCGUUGUUCGGAAUUACUGGGCGUAAAGGGCUUGUAGGCGGCCAACUAAGUCCGACGUGAAAUCCCCAGGCUUAACCUGGGAACUGCGUCGGAUACUGGAUGGCUUGAAUCCGGGAGAGGGAUGCGGAAUUCCAGGUGUAGCGGUGAAAUGCGUAGAUAUCUGGAGGAACACCGGUGGCGAAGGCGGCAUCCUGGACCGGCAUUGACGCUGAAAAGCGAAAGCUAGGGGAGCAAACGGG